AUUGAACGCUGGCGGCAGGCUUAACACAUGCAAGUCGAACGGUAACAUAAAGAAGCUUGCUUCUUUGAUGACGAGUGGCGGACGGGUGAGUAAUGCUUGGGAAUCUAGCUUAUGGAGGGGGAUAACUACGGGAAACUGUAGCUAAUACCGCGUAAUAUCGAAAGAUUAAAGUGUGGGACCUUCGGGCCACAUGCCAUAGGAUGAGCCCAAGUGGGAUUAGGUAGUUGGUGAGGUAAAGGCUCACCAAGCCGACGAUCUCUAGCUGGUCUGAGAGGAUGACCAGCCACACUGGGACUGAGACACGGCCCAGACUCCUACGGGAGGCAGCAGUGGGGAAUUUUGGACAAUGGGCGCAAGCCUGAUCCAGCAAUGCCGCGUGAGUGAAGAAGGCCUUAGGGUUGUAAAGCUCUUUUAGUAAGGAAAUAAUGAUGGUACUUACAGAAAAAGACACCGGCUAACUCCGUGCCAGCAGCCGC
rnacentral:rRNA from 1 species